UAUUAAAAUUUUCAUCAAUUUCUAUUGUUGAAAAUUAGCGUGGCUAACAAAAUAAUUAUUAAAUUACAUGUGAUGUAUCACAUGUACCACAUGCUGACAUACAGUGACCAAUUUUUAACAGUAAAAAUGAAAAUUUUAAACA
rfam:Gossypium hirsutum cultivar TM-1 unplaced genomic scaffold scaffold165.1, whole genome shotgun sequence